UACAGAGGGUGCGAGCGUUAAUCGGAAUUACUGGGCGUAAAGCGUGCGUAGACGGUUAUUUAAGUCGGGUGUGAAAGCCCCGGGCUCAACCUGGGAAUUGCAUUCGAGACUGAAUAGCUAGGGUACGGUAGAGGGAAGCGGAAUUUCCGGUGUAGCGGUGAAAUGCGCAGAUAUCAGGAAGAACACCCGUGGCGAAGGCGGUUCUCUGGGACGGUACUGACGCUGAGACGCGAAAGCGUGGGGAGCGAACAGG
rnacentral:rRNA from 1 species